AAGCUUUCCACAUCCCUUUCUUGUCUGAUGGGGAUUGCUCCUCCCUCUUCCCUGCUGGCAUGCUCCUUUACCUUUCCCGGGGCUGAAAACAGUGUGUGGGCAGUAAGGAAAGAAGUUUGGUUUUCCAAGAGAGAAAAUACCUAGAGGAUUAUUCAAAUAUGUUAUCCCCACUACAAAGAAGAAGAUGAAAGGAGAGGACGGUUGAAAGUGAAAUGUGCUGGGGAUAAGGACUUGAGGCACAGAGAUGUAAAGUGACUUCCCUAAGGAAUCACAGCCUGUAAGACUAGGAGCUGGAAUUCAAACCCAGGUUCAGAUAUGAGGACCACUCUGGACUUCAGAGAUUUAAACAUCCAGCCUUUGGGGGAAUAAAAGAACAGUGUAGACUUCUUGUACUUGAAUGAAGAAUAACAUUUUGA